rnacentral:rRNA from 1 species
GUCGGACGGGAUCAUGGCUUCGGCUGUGGUGAGAGUGGCGAACGGGUGAUAACACGUAGGUUUCUGCCUUUGGGUGGGGGAUAGCCCAUGGAAACAUGGGGUAAUACCGCAUAAAGCCUUUCGGGGUUAAAGGAGCAAUUGUUCCGCCUGGGGAUGAGCCUGCGGUCCAUUAGCUUGUUGGUGUGGUAAUGGCGCACCAAGGCGACGAUGGAUAGCCGGCCUGAGAGGGUGAACGGCCACACUGGGACUGAGACACGGCCCAGACUCUUACGGGAGGCAGCAGCUAAGAAUCUUCCGCAAUGGGGGAAACCCUGACGGAGCGACGCCGCGUGGACGAUGAAGGCCGGAAGGUUGUAAAGUCCUUUUCUUCGCGAAGAAUAAUGCUGGGAGUGGAAUGCCCGGCAGAUGACGUUAGCGGAGGAAUAAGCCCCGGCCAAUUACGUGCCAGCAGCCGCGGUAACACGUAUGGGGCGAGCGUUGUUCGGAAUUAUUGGGCGUAAAGGGCGUGUAGGCGGCCUGUUAAGCUUGGUGUUAAAGGCCACGGCUCAACCGUGGUUUAGCGCUGAGAACUGGCGGGCUAGAGUUCUGGAGGGGGAGCUGGAAUUCCAGGUGUAGGGGUGAAAUCUGUAGAUAUCUGGAAGAACACCGGUGGCGAAGGCGAGCUCCUGGCCAUGGACUGACGCUGAGGCGCGAAAGCGUGGGGAGCGAACAGGAUUAGAUACCCUGGUAGUCCACGCUGUAAACGAUGUGCACUGGGCGUAGGGGGCAUUGGGUCCUCUGUGCCGUAGCUAACGCGUUAAGUGCACCGCCUGGGGAGUAUGCCCCGCAGGGUGAAACUCAAAGGACAUUGACGGGGGCCCGCACAAGCGGUGGAGCCUGUUGGUUUAUUCGAUGAUACGCGAGGAACCUUACCGGGGGUGGACAUGCACAGGGAUGGCGUGGAGACAAGGCAGGCCCUUCUGGGGACCUGUGCACAGGUGCUGCAUGGCUGUCGUCAGCUCGUGUCGUGAGAUGUUGGGUUAAGUCCCGCAACGAGCGCAACC